CCUACGGGCGGCUGCAGUGGGGAAUAUUGGACAAUGGGGGCAACCCUGAUCCAGCCAUGCCGCGUGUGUGAAGAAGGCCCUCGGGUUGUAAAGCACUUUCAGUGAGGAAGAACGCCUGGUGGUUAAUACCCAUCAGGAAAGACAUCACUCACAGAAGAAGCACCGGCUAACUCCGUGCCAGCAGCCGCGGUAAUACGGAGGGUGCGAGCGUUAAUCGGAAUUACUGGGCGUAAAGCGCGCGUAGGUGGCUUGAUAAGCCGGUUGUGAAAGCCCCGGGCUCAACCUGGGAACGGCAUCCGGAACUGUCAAGCUAGAGUGCAGGAGAGGAAGGUAGAAUUCCCGGUGUAGCGGUGAAAUGCGUAGAGAUCGGGAGGAAUACCAGUGGCGAAGGCGGCCUUCUGGACUGACACUGACACUGAGGUGCGAAAGCGUGGGUAGCAAACAGGAUUAGAUACCCGAGUAGUC
rnacentral:rRNA from 1 species